GUGAUCAUCCAGCACUAAUGCACCGGAUCCCAUCAGAACUCCGCAGUUAAACGUGCUUGGGCGAGAGUAGUACUAGGAUGGGUGACCUCCUGGGAAGUCCUCGUGUUGCACCCU
rnacentral:rRNA from 1 species